rnacentral:lncRNA from 1 species
CGUUCAUUUUAACAUUUACUUACCGAAAAAUUCAGUUGCUCCUUUAACUAUCAAUGAAAGUUCUUUAUAUCAUGACAAUUAUCAAACCAAAUAACAUGGCAUAUCAUUAUCAACCUCCUCAACAAAAAUAAAAAUGACCUUUUUACAUUCGGGUAGGGUUUGGGUAUGGGUACAUAUAUCCCCGUUAAUCGUCCGAUACCCAUAUUUUAAAAUCGAAGAAAACCCAAACUCAUACCCAAACCCAGUCAAAUCGGGAAAAACCCGUCAAAUCGGGGUUGGUUUGGGCAGGUACCCAUGGGCACGGGUUUUGUUGUCAUGCCUACUAUCUGAGCCUAAGACUCGUGGACCACCAGUUAUCAAGUUUCUCCAUCGAAUCAUCCAUCAUUUAUAUCCAUACAUCAAGCUCUCAAUAAUGCGGGACGUGUGGGUGUGUAUUGAAGAGUCUCAAAUGGGAUGAUAGAUUAUCUGAACAAGUGUUUUAUAAGUAGAAGGAGUCAUCGCCUCACAAGCAAAUUUGUAAGGAUGAGUCAGACUCAAAUUUCAAGGUUUAGUAUGUUUGACUCCAAAUGUCAUUUUUACUCUAAAAUUUAGUAAUGCAACUCACUUUUAGGCGAAUGUGUCUAAACAUAAACCGCCUAACAUUCAACUAACUUGCUUUAUCUCGAUUAUACAAUCAAAUCCAAUUUUCGAAAGCAUAAAGUUGAAAUGCAAUCAGAAUUUUCAAUCAAAAAAUUUAUCGCUCAAGCAUACUUGCAUAAAGAUACAAAUAGCUUCUUAUUACUAAAAUAAUGAAUGUCAGUUGGACAAUUUCAUUUGUACUUUCCCUUUAGAUAAUUUUUUUUGAGCUAAUGGUGCUUUACCCCCUGUAAUAUAGGUCAUUUUUAGUUUUCCUCCCUGUAAAAUAUUUUUUUUGAUUUACCCCCUAUAAUUUUAUUUUUUUGGAAUACCCCCCUAAUAGAUCAUAAAAAAACGAAAAAUUCUGCAAAAAAAAAAAAUAAAGUUUAUGAUCUAUUAAGGGGGUAUUCCAAAAAAAAAAAAAUUACAGGGGAAAACAAAAAAUUACUUAUAUUACAAGAGGUAAAGCACCAUUAACCCUUUUUUUGACAAAAUUCCCUUUAGAUAAAUAGAAUUUAGUAGAGAACUGUAAUUAAAUAAAAUAUAAUGAUAAUAAAUUCUGUAAUCGAGAUAAAAUAAAAUCACCGUUCUCUUUUUCCCUAACAUGAGGACCUCGAUAAUGGAAUGCGCAUGAAAUAAAAUCAUCAUUCUAUUAUGAUACAAGCAUAUAAAUCGAUCUCAAUUCAGCAUUAAUAUAUGCCACAGCAUAAUGAAAACAAAACUAGAAAGCAGAAAUAAGUGCAAAACAAAAUUGUAUUUACAUAAUAUUAUAACUGAUUGCCCAUUUACACCUACUCGUAAGUCAACUAUUUUACCAGACUAGAGGAAGUUCACAAGACUUAAUGCAAAAGUCAAAUAGUUUUGUCAAUUACAGAUGGAUUCAUUGCAUUCAUGCAUCACUAGAUGGUGGUCUGCGACCACGACCUCGAACAACCCGACCACGGGGAAUUCUGCCGCGACCUCUUGCUGUGGUGGAAAACACCCCAGCUUGUCCAGCUUGUCUCAAUUGAGCUCUCUCUCGGGCUCGCUCUUGUAAAUUAAUGGUAGUUGUAGUUGACAUAUCACUAAUUGGUGAUGUUGGCUUUACGGGUGAUGUUGGCUUUACGUCUUCUGUUUUAGAGGGAGACCUCGUCGCCCCUUGCUUUGAAACAGGUAAUUUUGAGGAACUACUUUCUGCAACGCUACUCUGCAAAUUACUCUCGCUCGCGACAGGUGCAGGCUCAACCACCUGAUCACUCUCAACUGAUGUUGCUUUGUUAACAUCAGCUAAUUUAUCAGAUCCAUCAGCAGCAUCCUCAGCCAAGUCACCUUCAUCAUUCUUAUCAUCGGUUGAAAUCUCAGGCGAAUUAAUCUCACCAGCCUCUAAAGCAUCAUCAUCAUCAACCCUAGCUGGGGAAGGUUCAGGAGUUGCCUCCCGAGAUUCUUGGUUUUCCAUGUUAGAUCCAUCAAAACCACCCUCAGGAUCUCCGGCUUCUGGCAACAUCUCUCCCUCUUCUGUCUCACUACUGAGAGGCAAUGUUGAUUGCUGGUUGUCUAUCUCAGUAUGAUCCCUCUGCAUCUCAUCAGACACCAUUUGUGUUUCUGUUGGUUGAUCCAGAUUCUCUUCUGAAACUCCAGUCUUGUCAUCUUGUAAUUCCUCUUGACCAGAACCAUCCAUGUUUGGUGGAUCUUCGGAUUCUUCGUCCUUCCCCACAGCAUUCUCAUCAUCAUUUUGAGCCUCACCUACUUCCUCAUUUUGGCCUUGUGGCAACUCACCACUUUCAAAUGAUUCUUCAGCAACUGGAUGACUGCAAGUGAAUUCUGGGGUUGUAGCAGGUUGUUCUUCGCCGCUGUCUUCUGGAAACUCAGAUCCUUUGGGCUUCUUUAACGCAGGUGCUGCUACAUCAGAGCUCUUCUCACCAGGUGCCGAAGAUUCUUCACGCAACUCAGAUGUUGAGGUGGGAGCAACACGUUUCCGAGCCACUGGUUGAGAUGAUGUACCAAAAUUGCUUUGGGUUUCUGCGUCACUAGAAGGUCCAGGUUUGUUGCCCCCAAGUCCUUCAGCAUCAGACAUUUCAGUGUCCCCUUGUGGUUCAUCUGGCUUUACUAGUCGUGGCCUGACCAGUCUCCUACCAGUUUUACGAGUUUCAUUACUAGAUUUCGUCAGUGCAAGCCUUUUCUCACUUUCUCCAGUGGCCUUAGGUGGUAAACUGCUUGUCACAGGGGCCGUUGAGGGUAAUAUGCUUGGAGGUUGAGUGUGGACCAGAGAACCUGCCAUGAUGCGAUUAUUAUAUAAGUAUAUGAAGGAUUAUAAGAACCAUUACAAAUUCACAACAUAUUGAAAACUGCAUACUUUCCGUCUCAUCCUUUGUAAACUCUUCUUUGAAAUACUUGCAUUUAAAACAAUCAUGCUGUAAGGGAUGUAUAAAACGAUAAAAUAACCUGUAGCAGCUGCUGAGCUAUCUGUAAUUGUUGAUGGAUCACCAAGAGUGACACAUACUGCAUGAGCUUCCUUUUCAAAAUUUUCAACAGCAGCCAUAUAAGGAGCAGAGAAGUCAUCAACAUUGGAUCUCGAAAGAAGUUGAGCAGCAUUGGUUCCCUAAGAAAUAGCAAAAAAAGGAAUGGCAAAGUGAACUAAUAUGCAUUAAGAAUUAUUGAUUGAUAAAAUAUAAAUAUAUAUAUUACAGUAACAUUUUGGUUGAAUAAAAUAAUAUUUUUUGUUGUUUGUUCUUUAAUUUUUUGCUGUUUCAAAUUUUAAAUUUCUUUAUUUAUUUUAGUUCUACUGUCAGACUCUCCAAGUGAUGACCAGGAGGCUAAUAGAAGUCCGUCAAAUUCAGUUGCGGCAACGUGGCAUCAAAUCACCUCACAAUCAGCAAAAUCCCUCCCCAUGCAUAUUAUGAACCACAUACAUCAUUAAAUGAAUGAACCUAAAAAGUCAAUUUUGCUUAAAUUUAAAGACGGAGGGAGUAUUUGAUAAUUUUUCAGGUGUCUAGUUUUCUUUUUCCUUUGUUUUGGUUAUUUAAGUCAAAUAUAAUAGCAAACAAUCGAGAUACAUAAUAAUACCAAUAAGCCAAAUCACGUCUGUCCACUCAAAAUUAGUACAGUUGAACAAAAAUUCCUUUUUUAAAAUCAUGUACCUCAGGAAGAUUACCAACAAGAGUCUUAAGCUUUUCAACUUCAUCAGACAAUCGCUUCAGCGCCUCCUUAUGCCUCUCGAGGUCAUUAACAAACUGUUUUCUCUCCUGAAAGUAAAUAAACAAAUAUGGUUGAUAGGACUGGACAAAAGUAAAGGAAAAAAACAAGAUUCCGGUAUCUCAUUAAUUCUACUGAAUAAGUGAAUUAUCGGCAGUAAUUGAAUUGACACAGAUACAACAUUUUGUCAAUGCACUGAUGUCAGAUAUGUAUCCGUUUAACAUAAGUUGGGAAUUGGGAUACACCGAUGAUAAUCUGGCAGAAAUCCUAACCUUGAUAGCACAUGUAACUAGCAAGCUAGACACAUGACAUACCUGUGCUUCUAUUUACACUAACAUGGAAAUAUGGUUUGAUAUCGUUCACGAUUAUACACGAACAUGGAAAACCAAGACUAUAAAGUUCAAUUUAAUACAAAAAAGAGUGUACAAUAACUGUAGAUAAUUAUGGGAAGUGAUCAGAAUUGAUUUUCUUUUCUAACUUGUAUUUAUCAGUUGACUUGAACAAUUUGAAUUAUAGGAAACUGUAUAUUCCUCCUGAUUCUUCGGGUUAGAAUUAAUUACAAGAUCAACAAUUCUGGUACUAUUUGAAUUCAUCGAGUUCAUCAAGUGAAAACAGUCUUCCAUUUUUCCGCAUUCAUCUUUAUACUAACAAGAAUCCAAAUCUGAAUAAAAAACCGGCAAAACAAAUCAUAAUAAUUGAAUAGUAAUAUGAAAAUUAUAAUACAUUUUCAUAACUUCAAACAUAAUUGAUGUGCCAACAACAUAUUUUCCUACAUUAUCAGAGUUGUUGUCUCAUUAUAUGCCUAAAUGUUAAGGAUGCUUCGAUUCACCAGAUUGUGUAUCUAACAUUAAUUGGUGAUUAGAUAACAUAGUUUUCUAGUCAUACCAACAAACAACCAAUUGUUUCACACAAGGUAGGUAUAGCUACAUGGAUCAAAACGUGCAAUAAACUCUGUAAAAAAAUAUCAAUAUCUCCAUUCCGAAACACUACUAAUAAUCAAGUGCAUUUAAAAAUAUAUUUUCAUUUUCUUGAAAUAUAUGGAACUAUAGCAUCUAAUUAAGAAGAAGAAGAAGAAAAACAGAAGCAAAAUUUAUAUGGUGAAGUGGCAAAUACCAGGUCAAUAUUUUUGUAAGAGUCCGCUAUGGCCUUUUCAUUUUUCAGUCGCCUAUUUCUCUCCGCAGUUUUGUCUUCCUUCUCCUUGUUUAAGUCAGCUCUCACUCUCUCCAGAGUUCUUUCCAGCAUCUAGCAAACAGAAAGUUGAAUCACUUGUUUUCCUUCAUCCUAAAAACCGGGAAACAAUCCAAACACUAACCUGUAUUCUGGUGUCCUUUUCUUGAUUCAUCGCUUGUUCACCAGCUGUAUCACCUGUUGAUCUUUUCCCUAAUAUACACCAUACAACUUUAAGAAUGCAUUCCGCGAAAGAAUAGUAUCAGAUUUUUAUAUUGGGUCUAACUCAUCCUUACAAUACCGGCUUGUAAGGUGAGGGGUGCCUCUUUUUAUAAUCACCACACAGGCCAUAUCUCUAAGCAAUGUGGGACUAAACCCACCCCUUCAAACUCAACACAAUAAAGGUGUUGAAUGCUGCCAUCAAGGCAACCCAAAUGCCACGAUUAGGCGGCUAGGGGCAGACCGCAAUGAAGGCAGAAUUUCCAAUAAUAUUAAAAAGGUACAAAAUCUUAGAAUGUGUAAUUACCUUGUUGUUUAAUUUCAUCUAACUGUCUAGAAAGCUGCUGAUUCUCUUUCCCUAGCUCUUCCUUUUCCUUAUUUAACUGUCCAGAAAGUUGCUGAUUCUCUUUCACCAGCUCUUCCUUUUCCGUAUUUAAUGCCUCAAUCCUUCUCUGAAAGUACGAAAAAGGAAACAGAGAAUGAAAACAAAUGCGAAACUGGAAUUAUCAAUAAAAAAAUAUGUACAUUACAGUGACAAAUAGAAAAUACCACUCACCUUAAAAUGGGCCAGCAGUUUCCUAUUCUUAUCCACAUCCUGUUUAUGGUUAGCCUGUUUGAACAACCAUAUAACAACAGUUUGUAAACAAAACAAAAUACUCUUUUCCAAUUAUUUAAAAUUAAGACAGAAUAUGUCAAAGACCUCAAUUUUUGGAAUUUCAUUAAUUCUCUUCUCUUUUUCCACAAGUUCCAAUCUGCAGUUUGAAAGGUCUUGCUCUAAACGUGAAAAAGAUUCCUGUUUUUCUGAAAGAAUUUUACUAGUUUCCUCAAUCUGAGCAUCCCUGUCUCUUAGUUUACCCUGACAAGAAAAAUGAAGAUAUUUCUUCAAAUAGAGUAUAAAAAAAUUGAAAACAUAACAAGCAUGCCUCUGUGCCCAGAAUCCUAGACAAUAACAAAUGAUUUGCAACUUAAUUCAAGUAUAACAACUUCCAAAUCAAGUGCAUAUCAAUGUUCAAAUAAUCAGGCAUGUAUUCCAAGACGAGUAUAUGUUGCAAAUUGCAAACAUAGAUGUAGAACCAUCAUACUUCGUGUUUCACUUAUUGAAUAUUUUAAAUAUGUACAAGCAUGUUACUAUUUUGAAUAGUUAAAUUAGAUGCAAAACAACAACUAGAAUAAUUGAACAGUAAAAAGAAACACAAUGCAACUAAAUUUGUGAGACAACUCCAUUUUCAGUUUUAUUCAACAGGUAACACAUUUUCAGGGGACUAACAGAUUUCGUGUAUAAAAGGAAAAGGAACUCUUCAAAAUAAAUGGCUAGACAACUCCAAAGGGUGAGAGACAAGAAUAUGGAAAACAAUGAAAUUCACUAUAACAACCUGCAAAUCUUGUACAAGUUUCUUCACUCGAUCAUAAUCCUCCGCAUCAACAUUUUUACACCUUUCAAGCAACUUAAGAUGAUAAAACAGAAAGUAAAUUAGAAAUAACAGUGGAGGUGCACUAUAAAAGUGUAAAGCUCGUUAAUAAAUUUCUGGUCUUUCAAAAUGAAAUACCUCUGAAACCUUGUAAUUGAGAUGUUCCUUUUCCGUUUUUAGUGUUUCAAUCUCUUUUUUCUGGCCUUCCAGUUCACUUUCUCUUUCCCUUACAAGAUUCUCUAGAUUAUCUCUGGCAGUUCUUGCCUGUUCUGCUAGUUCACGCAAUUUCUAACAAACAAUCAACAAAUAUUUUAUCAGUCAUAAGAGAACCAUGUCUGAGAUGAGGUUUCUUAGCUUAUCAACAGCAUUUCUAUGAACUGUAAUGAUGAAAUAACAACAGAAUCGGAAGACCCAGAAGAAAGUAUGGUGGAUGAAAUAUCUGAAUACCUGACAUUCCUCAAAAUUGUGCUUAUUUUCUUCCCUGAGCUGCAUAUUACUCUCACGAAGCAAGUUCAUUUCCCUGACCUAGAAAUGAUUUUCACAAAGCAACCCAUUACUGAAUUGAUCAAAAUAACAUCAUCUGGAAACACUUUUACUAGGUAAAGAUCAACAUCUUAUAUUAUUAUCAAUAAACAUGAAAAAUGAAUGAAUUUAGUUCCUGAAAAUAGGAUCAUCAACCUGAAGUUGUAAGGAUUUGAUUUCUUCUUCAGUAAACAUAAAUGAUCUUGAUUUUACACGCUGAGCUUCUAGAGAUGCAUGAGCAGAUUCUGCUGACUUCAAAGCACUCUCAAGCUACAGAGAAUCACGAGGUCAAACAACAAUAUACCACUUCAAAACCAUCAGAAAGUUUACAAAACCAAACACAAUUAGCAAUUAGUUCAUGUAUUAUCAGAAAAACUGUUACUGGAUAAGAGAUUACGACAGGUACAAAGCUCUUUCUAAUUAAUAGAGAUUAAUAUCAUGAGAUUAGAUGAAAAUAAGCACAACUACUUAAGUUUCGGACUUCACUCAAUUUUACAAAACCCACUUCUAAUAUGCCAAAUUGUCAUUUAUAAUCUCUCAGAAGAUUUUGUCUAAAGUUAAUGAGGGACUUGUAUUCCCCAAUACACCUGCAAAGACCCAACACAAUUUGGAUUGGUGUGGAUAAGAUGGUGGAUGAUACCAUAGAUCUAGGAUAUGACCAGAUGCCAUUUGAGGGUUUUCGAUUAAAAUCAACCCCAGAUAACCGGUUUUUAGGGUGACGGUUUAUAGUCAAUCUUGGACUUGCCUUUUCACAAUAAAACUCGAGCCAGAAAACAGGACAAAAUGAGAAUAUUGUUUAACAACUCCUAAUGGAGGUAGAGAUAUGAAAUACCAACUUAAGUUUGAUGAGCAUACACCAAGUUAUACGAAAUAUAACAACAGCAUGUGUACAAAUAUUACCUGUGACUGUAAUCGCAGCUUUUCCUGUUUUAAUAAUGAAACUUCUGUUUCUGCCUGUUAAAGAAUAUACAAAGUAUUAAAUAACAAGAUAUGAACAAAGAAUUGAAAGAAAGAGAGAAUAUCAGCAACACAAAGGUGUUUACAA